rnacentral:rRNA from 1 species
UACAGAGGUCUCAAGCGUUGUUCGGAUUCAUUGGGCGUAAAGGGUGUGUAGGUGGCGCGCUAAGUCGGGUGUGAAAUUUCGGAGCUUAACUCCGAAACUGCAUUCGAUACUGGCGUGCUUGAGGACUGGAGAGGAGACUGGAAUUUACAGUGUAGCAGUGAAAUGCGUAGAUAUCGUAAGGAAGACCAGUGGCGAAGGCGGGUCUCUGGACAGUUCCUGACACUGAGACACGAAGGCCAGGGGAGCAAACGGG